GCUGGGCACAGUAGUGCACGCCUGUAAUCCCAGCGCCUCUGGAGGCUGAGACAGGAGGAUGGCAAGUUCAAAGCCAGCCUCAGCAAUGGUGAGGCACUAAGCAACUCAGUGAGAUCCUGUCUCUA
rnacentral:sRNA from 1 species